AGUGAACGCUGGCGGUAGGCCUAACACAUGCAAGUCGAACGGCAGCACAGUAAGAGCUUGCUCUUACGGGUGGCGAGUGGCGGACGGGUGAGGAAUACAUCGGAAUCUACUUUUUCGUGGGGGAUAACGUAGGGAAACUUACGCUAAUACCGCAUACGACCUACGGGCGAAAGCAGGGGAUCUUCGGACCUUGCGCGAUUCAAUGAGCCGAUGUCGGAUUAGCUAGUUGGCGGGGUAAAGGCCCACCAAGGCGACGAUCCGUAGCUGGUCUGAGAGGAUGAUCAGCCACACUGGAACUGAGACACGGUCCAGACUCCUACGGGAGGCAGCAGUGGGGAAUAUUAGACAAUGGGCGAAAGCCUGAUCCAGCCAUACCGCGUGGGUGAAGAAGGCCUUCGGGUUGUAAAGCCCUUUUGUUGGGAAAGAAAAGCAGCAGGUUAAUACCCCGCUGUUCUGACGGUACCCAAAGAAUAAGCACCGGCUAACUUCGUG
rnacentral:rRNA from 1 species